CUUUUCCCUCUUAAUCGAAAAUCUCAAACUUUGCUUUUUCUCUUUUCCCUCUUCUUGCUUUUAUUCGGUUUCUCAAACUCCCGCUUCUUCCCCAUCCCAUUUCCUAUGUCCCUGGAGGUGCCCUUCUGAAACAUUUGAAACCACCAUUACACACCAUAAUGAAGAAAUGAGGUAGCGAAAUAUGGCAAGUGCAGGAUCAACCUUAAGCUUUGGGAAGUAAAGCCCUAGAUUAGGGCUCCAAAUACUUUUAGAUCUACUCAACGUUAGGGUUAAUGCUUCAAAUUUAAAAUAAAAUUUAAAAUAGAUUUGAGGUCUUGCCCAAUCAUUCAUUAGCAGAUUUUGUACACUUAAUAAAGCACGCCGGGUGUUCGAUGCCAUGCCGAAGAGAGGCGCUUUCAAUUUUACGCAUGCCAACAAGAUUACAUGUAACGUUAAGUAUACACAAUUAAGGAAGUUUGCAGAAAUUGAUUAAUUUCUCUUUUCUUACAAGUAUUUUUAAUCUUUUUGUUAGGACUUGGGAGUUUAGUGGAAGAGUGAAAGGUAUAAAGAUGGAUAUUGUAGACACAACAAGUGCUCAAGAAUCAGGAUGCUUUUCUAGCUGGAGUAUCAUCAAAACAGUAAUGCAUUAAAACAGUCUGUUCCAAUCCUUAAGACGAUCUAUACUCAAUCGUUCGUAAAAGGGUAGUGAAUGAACCACUUGAAAGUAUAUGAUAUCCAAUGUUCUUGGUUUAGAUGGGAAUAGCAUGGCAAAAGUGUUUGUGUAAAUGAGGGUCUGAUAGUACGUGUCUUGGUGGCGCCUUUGUUCGGUCUUAGUUCAAUGGUUGGAUGGCUGAUGAAUCUAGGCGUUGUUUUGCCUAUUUUCUUUAAUGCUUCAAGGUAUAUUCAUUAUGAGGGUGCUAAGGUUUAAACCAAGCGUCUGCUACGUAUUGAAGAGGACCACUUAAGGAAAAAAAUGAGCUAAAAGCUUUACGAAAAGAUUUUGAAGGCCAGUGAGCAACUUUGAAGCUACGGUGUGAAAUAUUAUGAAAAGGCUACACAUUUAAGUAUUUCGGGAUUUUAGAUUAGAUUAAUAGGAUGUUUAUUGUAAACUAUAUUUAUUUAUUACAUUGUUAUUUUGAGAUUGGACACAUGUAAAAUUACCGUAACAAUUAUAUAUCUUAUUUAUGUUA